UCCGGUGAGGUAGUAGGUUGUAUAGUUUGGAAUAUUACCACCGGUGAACUAUGCAAUUUUCUACCUUACCGGA
rnacentral:pre_miRNA from 15 species